GAUGAACGCUGGCGGCGUGCUUAACACAUGCAAGUCGAACGGUGAAGCAGGAGCUUGCUCUUGUGGAUCAGUGGCGAACGGGUGAGUAACACGUGAGCAACCUGCCCCUGACUCUGGGAUAAGCGCUGGAAACGGCGUCUAAUACUGGAUAUGUGAUGUGACCGCAUGGUCUGCAUCUGGAAAGAAUUUCGGUUGGGGAUGGGCUCGCGGCCUAUCAGCUUGUUGGUGAGGUAAUGGCUCACCAAGGCGUCGACGGGUAGCCGGCCUGAGAGGGUGACCGGCCACACUGGGACUGAGACACGGCACCGACUCCUACGGGAGGCAGCAGUGGGGAAUAUUGCACAAUGGGCGGAAGCCUGAUGCAGCAACGCCGCGUGGGGGAUGAAGGCCUUCGGGUUGUAAACCUCUUUUAGCAGGGAAGAAGCGAAAGUGACGGUACCUGCAGAAAAAGCACCGGCUAACUACGUGCCAGCAGCCGCCGUAA
rnacentral:rRNA from 1 species